ACCUUCUCAUGAGCUCCUCUUAAUCCUCCCCGUGAUUCUGCAUGGAUUCGCACGAGAAGCAGAGCAAACACACAGUCAGAACAGGCUCGCCCUGCACUCAUACGGGUGCUGCCCAUGUCUGCUGUGCAACAUGU